CGUCGCGGUUCCGCUGGGACGGAUGUGGGGAAGGGGCGGCCCUCGGGGUGGUUCGUCGGGCUCCGCGUUUCCAUUCGGGCUGAACGCGGAGUUAAAGGCGGCCGGCAGCACCGAGCCUGUCCCGGAGCUCCGGGCUGCGCUGCUGACUCACCCCGGGGCUGUGCCGGGCUGUGCCUCGUGCUGGGAGCUGAGCCCGGCCGCCAUGGUGGGGCAGGGGGGAGCAGUGCGGAGCUGUAACGUCAGUGUGAGAUGUGACUUGAGUUUCAGUAUGAGAGAGAAAUCCCGCAAUUUGGGUGUAUUGAAAGUGCAACGGCUCUGGUUUGUUGUUGCCAAAAGGGAAGGGAAAGAAAAAAAAAAACUCGGAGCUAUUUUUGGUGUGAGAGAGGAGAUGGGGCAUGCAUGAGACUGGGGCAGGAAAACAGUGGUACUUUGUUGUUCGUGCUGUCUGUGGGUGGUGGUUUCUGUUUGUAGCUGCAUGGCGUACCUGGCUCUGCCAGAGCGCUGUGCUGGAAUGCCACCCCCGGCACUGUGCUGGGCAGGGGCCUCACAGCGUUGUGCCCUCACCCCACAGCGUGUGUUUCAACCCCCAUCAAGAUCUGGACCGAAACCAUCAGCUUUGCUCCCUGUAACCCGCUGAGCGCGGCUGCUUGGCACUGCCUCCUGUUUGCCAACGGCUGCAGUUGGAUCAGACUCAAGUUGCCUGGUGUGGGAGUUGUGCCCAGCCCCGCAGUCAUCCCGUGCCAGUAUCCAAAGUAGGUUUGGUUCAGCUGCGUUCAGCUCCUGAAGUUGUGAGCCGCAAGCUGGGGAAGGUGGUGGUUGUGCUGUGAUUGCUGUGCGUGCAGCUGUGCUGAUAGCACUGAGUGCUGCUGGUGGAGCUGCACUGCUUGGCCCUAUGGCAGCUCCAGCUGGGAGUGCUCGGAGGAGACACCUCUGAUUUGUAUACCUCAAUCUGUGGGUUGUUUGUCCCCCUGGCACCUCCUGCUGCUGGGUUGGAUGUUGCAGACCUGGGGUUGUCCCUGUGCUGGAAGGGGCCUGGCCAUGGCCUGGUGCUGGCUGUCACCUUGCAGCACCUACAGCUCGUUGCUUUGGGGUCUGGGUGCUGUGAGGGACAUGGUGCUGGUAGGAGCACUCAGCAGAGCACUGAGUGAACAUUAAUGAGUGUAAAGGAUAGCAGCACUGUCUGCUUACACAGAAGGGAACUUAACUCCAAAUUAACUUUAUGAUCCGUGAAACUGAAGGUUAUUUAAAAAAAAAUAAUAGCGUAAAUGAAAACGCUGAGGUUUCCCAGCAUCGCUGAGCGCACGGCUUGUUGUUUAAUGCCUUCCAUUUCUUUUUUUCCCCACUCUCAGUCUGUGCUUUUGGCUUGGGAACAAAUUACAAGCAAUAUCAGCUUACGCUUGGAUUUGAAGCCACAUUACUCUGAGUCAGCUGAAAUAUUUCCCCUUAUCGCCGCUCCCAUAAUGUUUAUUUUAGAGCGGAUAGCACGGCUGUGUUUCUGCUGGCUGCGGGAAGAGCCGGCUGUGACACAGCCCAACACCUCGCAGAGAAGAGAUCUCGAAGCUCGCCUCGAUUUCUGAAUGAGAUACGGCUUGGUUUUCCAUGGAGAGCUUUAUGCAGGGCUGUGUCCCAGAACCUCUCUCCGCAUUGAAAGCCCACGAGGCGGCAGAUGGAUGAAUUGCUGACAGAUUUAAAAUCGCAUGACGAACAUCAAGUGCUCGGUCUGGAGGCCAAGGCUGGAGGGAGGGAGGUGCAGGAGGGUUGAUUAAGUUGCUCUGGGCCGUGGUGCUGAGCCCAGCAGGUUGGGCUGCAGGGGAAGGGAAGGGCCCGUGUUCUGUCCAGGAGAGGAGUGUGUUCUGUCCAUGCAGUGAGCCCUGAGUGUCCUGCAAGGAGGAGGAGGGGAGCUCUGCAUCCAGGCUGUGCUUCACAGGGCUGAGAAUAGGCUCUGCCCUGGGCCCGAGGCCCAUCUGCAGCAUCACAGUGUAUGGUGAGGGAGGAGAGCCGGCAGGAUUUCCUCUCGGCAGCGCUGGCUCCUGGGUUAAUAGCUAACCGGGCAGCCCAGGUUUGUCCUUUCAUUGUGGAAGGGAGUUGUUUACAUAAUAGCACUCGGGUAGCCUUUAUUUAGCAUUGUUUCUCUGCGUGAUACCGGCAGGCAGUGGCGGUGCCCAGAAGUGCCGUUUCGGACCCAAAUGGAAGUUAACCCUUACACCUGGGCAAUGCUGGAGGAGCACUGAGUGGUGGGGACCUUGGUGAUUUUUAAGCCCUGCUUCCUGCUGGUGCUCUGCAAUCCACAUGCCUUUCCCUGGCUCCCGAAGCAACUCAGCUAAGGUUUGUUCUGUGCGUGUUUGGGCAAAAGGAUAUUGUGAUCGUUUGUUUUGCUGUGUCUUUACAUUAAAGAAGGCAAAACGAAAGAAAUGUGUCAGCCCGUGGGUGGAGGAUGACAGCAGCAUUGGGGCUGCUGCAGCAGAUCGUCCCAUCUCCUGUCAUCAGUCCCAAGGAUGGGCUUUCCCCUGGGCUGUGUCUUCUUCAGAGUGCAUUGCUGUGCUGGGACAGUGCUGUAUGGGGGGCUGGGGAGGGCUUCUGUGGUGUGAUUUUGAGGGCUGGAGGUUGGUGUGUGCUGCCCUCUGUACCAGCCCUGCUCUGUGCUGCUGGUGUGACGCUGCCUGCUCAAGCCUGCAACUUGCUGGAACAGAGGUCACUGUUAACACCUCCUUAAGCCGAUUGUAACUGGCAGGGUGAGUUUGUAGGAUCUGUGCUGGGUGACUGCAGCGUUCCUGCUCCGCUGCUCGCAGCCCUAAAGCUUUGUCUACUGACUCGUCAAGCCCUUGCCAUCACCGUCAUGUGUUUCAUGAUCUCAUGUGGUAUGUAAAUCCUGGGUGUGUAGCAGUGCUGGAGUUUACUAUCACAGCUGUGUGCUCGGGAAAUUUCUCUGCUUAUUUGCUGGAGGUGUUUUUCCUGCACUGGAGCCUUAAAUAACAGCAUCCCCUCUUCUUUGGCACAAGGCUUCCUUCUGCUUGCAGGGGCUGAUUUUUCCUAUUGGAAAGAUCCCCUCGAUUAAGCAUUGUCCUCGUUUUGCUUUAGGUCCCAUGCCCUACAGUUCCAUUCACAUAAGCUUUUCCAGCCCCGUCUUGAAAGCAGCUAUUCUGCUUCUUGCCUUUUGCCGCAGAAUUUCAGGCUCAUGCCAGAGUCUCAGCUUGGUUUCUAGGUCACCCAUCUGCCCUUUCAUUUCCCCUCGUGCUGGAGCUGGCCGCCUUGUUUUGAUUUGGUGAGAGGCGAGGUGGUGUCCGCAGACACAAACAGGCAGGCAGCGGAAUUUGUGUUCCCUGCAGCCUUGUUCCUGUUGUGUGUGUGAAUAAUAAUUUCCAAAUGCCGGACCGGCAGUGAUUAAAAGCUGUCAAAGGAAUAAAAUGCAGCAAAGUCUGCAUUAUAGUCUGUGUGUCCAGUGUUCUGGGGAAACUCUCAGAACUGGCAGUGGAAAAAUAACUCGCUUGGGGAGAUGCUGAGGAGGCGGUGUGACUGUACCCAGGCUGGGCAGAGCUGGCUGUGUUGGGGCUUUGCCAUUGUGAGCUGCUGUCACACAGCAUUUGUUGUUAGCUCUGAGCAGGUAUCGGCUGUUGGCUUUUCACUGAGCAUCCUCUGCCCUGCAGCUCCAGCGCUGGGGCCAUGGAGCAGUUGUCAGAUGCACUGAGCAGCUCACCGUGUCUUCAUUUUUGGAGUAAGUGAUCCUGCUGACAGCACGUAGAGGAGGUGGCAGCCAGCCCUCAGCUCUCCCUCCUUUCCCCUUCAUUUGUAGGUUUUCGUCUUCGCUUUGUUUUGACAGGGGAGCUGUUGAAAAUUUAUGUUGUGUUUGUGGAGUUUUGGUGGCUGUGGCUCAGGGUGCCACGCUGAGAGAUGUGGAUUGGUCCAGCACCCAGCCAGAUGCCUGCAGCCUUCUCCAGGGCCGAGUGCUGCUGGGCUGAAAUGCUGCAGGAUUUUGGGGUUUUUCUCCAUUGCUCUGAAAUCAAGCAGAGAGAUGUGAGCUCAUACCUUAAGGCUUGUGUUUUUGUUGUAGCUCUCUCUGUGGGAAGCCAAGGUUUGCAUCUUCUCUGCUGAGACCAGUGUUUGUGCAGUCUCUAAUACUGCUGAGCAUGUCCUGAAGCUCUGCCAGCAGCAGGCAAAGGCUGAGGAAUCAUAGAACCUCUUGAACUGGAAGGGGCCUUUAAAGGCCAUCCGGUCCUGCUGUGUGCAGUACACAGGGACACCCACAGCUCCAUCAGGAGCCCCGUCCCCUGUCUCUGGGUGUCUCCAGGGAUGGGGUGCCCCCACCUUUCUGUGCACCCUGUGCCAGGGCUCCAUAGCAGUGCUCUCCUGGCCCUGGUUACCUGCUGUGUGCAGGAGCUCCCUGAGCCUGGUGGGGUUGCUCAGGAGCAACAUGCCUGUGCACGAAGCAGUGUUGGCUCUGCAGGCGUGGGACGUGCUUGGCCCAGGAAUGUUGCUAACCUGGGGCCUGGUGCUUCCCUCAGUCGCUUCAGUUUUUUGCAUAGAUCCAAUGAAGAUGCCUGUGCUGCCUGGAGGAUCACGGCCUGCCCCACGGAGCCUCUCAGCCCACAGAAGAAAUUUCCAAAUAAAUACAGCAGCCUUGCCUUGCCAACUCCGUGCCAUGUGUACAUUGGAUAGGCAGAACAAUUACUUACGGAGACAAACGGGUCCUCUGCGCUCCGUGCUCCAUCACCCGGGCUGUGAUUAGCAUAGCAGUGAGAUCUGCAUUAAGCAGCCAAUUAAGGCAUCUGCAAGAGGUGGGAAAAAAAUGUAGCAGCUUAACAUGAACCUGCUGAGAAAGGUGGCACUGAGUGGUACCUUCUCAUCAGUCUGGGGCUGUCUCUUCAAUGGGGCUGAGCUCUGGGGCCUUUUGCUGCCUGUAGCUGACUCCAGGCCAUACUUGGGGUGGCAGCCUGGGCUGCAGUGCUGGAUGAGGGAGUUUUCUUCUAGAGAGGCUGCGUUGAAUUGCAAAUUGCCUAUUCUCUCCCACUUCUCUUAAUCUGGUAUUGCACUCUUAUGGGGGAAGUGGAAGUUGGAGUUGCUUGUGCUCAGUACAUGGAUAGGAGCGGGCCGUGGAGAAGAGUUAUGAGUGGCUGAAAUGUUGAUCAUAGCUGGGCAAUGUCAGCGAUGACACUCAAAGCAUUUGCUUGUUUGGGAGGUGCUGUAGCUCAGUGAUCUUUCUGCAGACACUGGAGCAGCGUGUUGAAAUGCAGUGCAUGGGGCGACAGGCAGCUCUGUGCUCCUUCUGACAGCGGGUUCUGCAUUUCUGGGAGAGCACAGCAUCUUGUUGUUCCCACAUACACAGAGCUGGGGGCAGAUCUCACGCUCAUUCUGUUUGUUGCUGUGAGUGCAUUCUCUGGCUGUGCUGUGAAGCUGUUUGCUUCCCAGAGCUGCUCCAGUAUGACGCGUGGCCGAGGAGUGCUCCCUAUCCAGGGCAUGGAGAGCUGUGUGAAUCCUGCUGCCUGGUGCUGUGCUCAUGGUAACCAGCUUGCUUACAUCAAACUCCACUAAUUAACCUAAUGAAGAGCAGCUUCCAGGCUGAGUCUCUCCCACUGGGUUUCAGGACAGGACUGAUGCUGUCUGAUCCACCAGUGCUGGCUGUGUCAGCCCGCUGCUGCUUUCCACAGCCACUGAGGCCUCCAGGCUGGGCAGAACUUUAGGUGGAUUACUAAAUACUGUUAACCUCUUAUCCUCACAAAUCACAAGAUUUUCAUUAUUUUCUUUUUUUUAAUGCUGCCUCUGGCAUGUUUGAACUUAGAGGAUUUGCAUACCCACGUCUCUUCAGCUUUAAUUGUAAGGGCUGGGAACUUCCUUGCUCACAGUUUCAGCAUUCUGUGUUUGUUUCAGCAGAGCUGAAGUUACCCCCCAGCUGAUGACCCCUCUACUCUGUGCAUCUGACCCUGCAAACAAAUGUGCUGAGAGAGGAGCAUGUGAGCCCUGCGCUGGUCACUCAUUGACCAGGACCCUUGUUUGCCUUCAUUUGAAGCUCUGCUCAUCUCUGUGAAGGCUUCCUGAAAGAAAAACCUAGAAAUCCCCCUGAGCUAAUUGCGAUGUGAUUUGAAUUCAGCUGCUAUCUUGGAAGAGCUCUUCCCGACAGCUGAUUUAAAAGGCACCUUUUUCACAGUACUGUAUGUUGUCAGCCAGCAUCUGAGGGUCCUGAAAGUGCUGGUGGGGAGGGGAGUAAUAAAAAUUAAAGUACAUAAGCCUGGAAAACUCUUGUUGGUGUCAUCCAGCAGUAAAUGUGUGGAUCUGGUUGUGAAUUGAUUCGAUCUCUCCGUUGAAUCUGGUCCUCCACGUCCUCACUGCUGCAAGAAAUCCUGCUCAGAAGGGUGGUUUUCUUUGGGCUGUGUCAAACUGUGCAGCGCAUGACCAAGCAGCAGCUUGUAGCACUUAUGAACUAGGACAGAAGUGGAUGCCUCUAUUCAGGCAGACUCAAAUAAGCCUUUCAUAUUCUAUCCUGGGCCCCAAUUUGCCUAUGUUAUAAAUAAGUCUGUGGCUGCGUGCUUGUGUGUGUUUCUUUUUUAAGCUGAAGGCAACCCCUUAAGCUCUUUUCUGCAGGUCUGUUCAAGCUGGGGCAUGGGGAAUUCCUAAGAGGAUUAUCAUGGUUUACUUGAUACAGAACUUGAACUUGAGCAAUGGCUUAUCUUAUCAGUGAUAAAAGACAUGGAAAUGAAGUUUACGUAACUGAGGAGGCCUUGAACGUGGCUUAUUUUUUCCCUCCUGGAAUGACAGAUCUGCCAAGCUCCUUCCCCGUCAGCAGUCGCGGUGCUGUCUGGCACGUACUUCCCAGGUGCUGGGGACCAGUGCAGGUUGUGCCUUAUUUCUGUGCAUUCACCCCAGUGCCGUGGCUCAUGCUGUGGGGGCUCAGCCUCCUCUCCUCUGUUAGAUUUGGAAGGAUGUGAUCGCCUGGGUGUCCGACUCCUGCCUCAUCUGCAGCGUGUAGGAGGAGUUUAAUUUUGGAGCUCUUGCUGUUGCAGAUGGUGACAAUGGCACUGGGCAGCGCCGUGCUUCCCAUGGCAGGGCUCGGCAGCCUGAGGCUGGCAGGAUGACAGCUCUUAUUAGAGGUAACCUUCAGGAAAUGCCACAUGCAGCCCUUGCUGAGCUCCCUGGCUCUGGGUGCGUACAAUAUUUACACCAUGCUGCUAGAGCUUCCCUCCAGGCUCUCAGCCUGCAGCUGCCUCUGCUCUGCCACCUGCCCACAUCCUUGUGCUCUGGUGCCCGGGGUGAGCCUGGUUCCUGCAGCAGCGCCCUGCUGGGCUCUGCUCAUCCUGUGCUGAGUCCAUCUCCUUCAGCCUCCCAGCCCUGGUGCAUUCUUAGGUUAAGUUCUUUCUGUGUGGACAUGGGGAGGUUUGUACUUCCUUUUCUUUUGCUCUCAGGUCAAGGCAGUGGGUAAGGGCAGCUGCCUUUGUUCUUGCUUCUGCUGGUGUGAAUAAACAAUGUGUCUCUGA